rnacentral:rRNA from 1 species
CGCCUGUUUAUCAAAAACAUCGCCUCUUGUUCAAAUAUAGGAGGUCCAGCCUGCCCAGUGACUUUGUUCAACGGCCGCGGUAUCCUAACCGUGCGAAGGUAGCGUAAUCACUUGUUCUUUAAAUGAGGACUAGUAUGAAUGGCCCCACGAGGGCUGCACUGUCUCCUUUUUCUAAUCAAUGAAACUAAUCUCCCCGUGAAGAAGCGGGGAUUAUCCUAUAAGACGAGAAGACCCUAUGGAGCUUUAAACAAUUGAAACAUUUGCUUUUCUCCUAAUUCCUCCCGAGCUCUUUAUUUUUAUUUAAGCAUUAUUAUUUCUAGUUUUAGGUUGGGGUGACCACGGAGCAAAACUAAACCUCCAUGAAGAAAUGAAUAUUUUUAAGCCACAAACUACUUUUUUAAGCAUCAACAAAUUGACCUUCAUUGACCCAAUAUAUUGAUCAACGAACCAAGUUACCCUAGGGAUAACAGCGCAAUCUACUUCAAGAGCUCAUAUCGACAAGUAGGUUUACGACCUCGAUGUUGGAUCAGGGUAUCCUAGUGGUGCAGCCGCUACUAAUGGUUCGUUUGUUCAACGAUUAAAACCCU